rnacentral:rRNA from 1 species
CAGUCGCCGCGGGAAUACGUAGGGUGCGAGCGUUAAUCGGAAUUACUGGGCGUAAAGCGUGCGCAGGCGGUUAUAUAAGACAGAUGUGAAAUCCCCGGGCUCAACCUGGGACCUGCAUUUGUGACUGUAUAGCUAGAGUACGGUAGAGGGGGAUGGAAUUCCGCGUGUAGCAGUGAAAUGCGUAGAUAUGCGGAGGAACACCGAUGGCGAAGGCAAUCCCCUGGACUUGUACUGACGCUCAUGCACGAAAGCGUGGGGAGCAAACAGGAUUAGAUACCCCUGUAGUCCCUGUCUCUUAUAC